rnacentral:rRNA from 1 species
GAUGAACGCUAGCGGGAGGCUUAACACAUGCAAGUCGAGGGGCAGCAUAGGGUAGCAAUACUCUGAUGGCGACCGGCAAACGGGUGAGUAACGCGUAUGCAACCUACCCUGUACAGGGGGAUAACCCGGAGAAAUUCGGACUAAUAUCCCGUAAUAAUAUCCGGAGGCAUCUUUGGAUAUUUAAAGUUUCGACGGUACGGGAUGGGCAUGCGUAACAUUAGCUGGUUGGUAAGGUAACGGCUUACCAAGGCUAUGAUGUUUAGGGGUCCUGAGAGGGUGGUCCCCCACACGUGGUACUGAGACACGGACCAGACUCCUACGGGAGGCAGCAGUGAGGAAUAUUGGUCAAUGGGCGCAAGCCUGAACCAGCCAUCCCGCGUGCAGGAAGACGGCCCUAUGGGUUGUAAACUGCUUUUCCAGGGAGAGAAACUUACGCACGUGUUGCGUGACUGACGGUACCCUGGGAAUAAGCAUCGGCUAACUCCGUGCCAGCAGCCGCGGUAAACCGAGAGUA